rnacentral:lncRNA from 1 species
UCCACCAGGAGGUACUUGAGGAGGUGGUCGAGUUGGUCUUGGAUGAUCAUGUUCCCUACCGAAGGGGAUAGGUGAGGGAGGAGGUCCAAGAUGAACUCGAUCGUGUUACUUAAUUUCUGCACAUGAUGAAGAUUCAGAGAAACAAUAAUUAAAUAUCAAUAAAUUGUUGCUUUAAUUUAAUUCCUUCUUGUGCAAGCCAUACACGAUAUAAGAUCUGAAGAAAGCUAGGUAUCAGGUCAUACACGUUACCUGUUAUUGGCAAUUGACUAUGCGCUGAUGACGAACAGUAGGCCAACUGAUGCCCGAACAAUAGCAUGACAACUGCUAGUGCAGAGACUGCUACGCCUAAGAGCUUCGCCAUUAACAAUGAAAUGGAAUUAUGAAUGAGAUGAUUUCCU